GGGGCUGUAGCUCAGCCGGUUAGAGCAUCUGCCUCUUAAGCAGAGUGUCGAGGGUUCGAGUCCCUCCAGCCCCUCCA
rnacentral:tRNA from 1 species